GUGGGGCCCAGACCCGCGCAACCAGGCGGGGAGGGGAGGUGGGCGCGCGAUUGGGUUGCGAUCUGGAGCAUUGGGGACAGGUCAGGAACCGGCGCGUAUUUCUGCAGUGAGACCACAGGACGGACAUCGGCGCCUUCGGCUUCGAUGGAGUUGCGAUUUUGCUCUUUCCAGGGAAACAGUGGCAGGGUGUUUGCUGCUUAUCGGUUCCUGCGGAUAUGCCUGGGUCCCAGGACAUUCCACUGGAGGCUUGGACUGCAUUUAGGAGCCCCUAUCCCUUCCCUGUCCACACUGUUAGUGAGCAAUUUCAUAUGUUUGCAUGUAGACCCAUAGACUCAGAACGACUCAUCACACACACACACAGUGUACACUGACACACUCACAUUCGCACACUUAGGUAUACAGCCUGAUCCUUGCUCUGACCUGGUAACAACGCUUCCUCCUCCAGAGACUUUGAGAUAGAGCGAGCGAUCCGUGUGCACCAUUCAUCCAUGCUCCCACCUCGCCAGUAUGGCUGGCUUGUUCUGGAAGGGGCUUAAGAGGAACAAGCCCCAGCUGUGCUUCUGGCUGGGACUUAAACCCCCCUUCUGGGCCCUAAAGCCACGCUUCUUUGUGGACCGGACCUGACUCUCCAGGAAUCUGGGAACUCGCUAUUUCACUCUAUUUUGGGACAAGAAAAAGGGGCUCUUUGGGGCCACUUCCUGCCUUCCCCUCAAGUAGGAUCUCCAGCCUGCAGAGGGUGCCUAGUCCUUCUUUGCCCAAGAACCAGCCCAAGAAGCCUUUCCUCUGUGCCUGGGAAAUGCAACCUUUUCUUGGGAGCAUGGUAGGGUGUUGGUGCUGAAGAACCAAGCAGCGACACGUCUUGCAGCUGCCAUGUUUUGUCGAGGGGUUCUGGGGGUCCUGCUGCCUUAGAGCCACAUACUUCCACUUCCUGAUUCACUACUGUGAGCUGGUCAGAUGCCUAGAAGAGGAACAAGCGUUCAAAGUGAAAGUGGGCACAUUACCGGAAUAGUGCUGGGGAGAGUGCUGGAUUCUUUUCCACCCCAGGCGGACUGGUGAGAAGCCAGGCUUGGACCUGUCCUCUGCUCCUAGCUUGCACACUCAGCCCUAAACUCAGAGCAGCACGCAUACCACCCCUCAUACACACCCCACCAUCUGCUCUCUAAGGCCCCUGGGCUUCCUGCAGGAUCCAGACCAAUGUGGCUGGGCUUGGGCUUUUAUCUGUCCUGAUCCUGGAUUUGUCCUGACCAAUGUAAGUGUCGCCCAAUAAAACCUUCUAUGACCCCCACACCAGCCACCCCCCCCCCACCAAGUGUGCCCCUUCCUUCUUGACUUUUUAGCAGUUCUGGGUAAAUAUUGAUUUGCCCCCAGUUUACCUUCUCCCUGACUGGCCAUUUGCAGACUCAGGAACUAGCCUCUGUAGGGACUUGAUUUUUCUGUUACUUUCUGGCCGUUUCACCACCCCCCUUCCUCCCUCCAAGUGGCAUUGUAAAACUCACAGUGACAAAGAGACAGAGUAGGGUUCGAGGCCCCUGUUCCUGAGGACUUGAAGGCGGUUUUACAUACUGGUCAGACACGGCUGGAGGCCAAGGUCAAGUUGAAAGUUGCAGUCCAGCCAGCAUGAGAACUGCCAUGCGAGCGUAGAGACACAGGCAGCAGCAAAAGGCCCAUUGCCCACAUCCCCUCACUCUUUAUUUUCUCUCUCUUUUUAAAAUUCUCGGCUCUGACUCUGUUCGGCUGCCCAGAAUUUUUUGGUGCCUUCGUGGGGUUUUUGGGGCGGUGUUUACCGACUCUUCUCUGCCUCCGCCCUGCUCAGCCAGGGCUUUGAGCCUCUUCGGUUUUCCGGCCAGACCCGGAAAAACGAAAACACAGCUUGGGGAGCCCCCACUAGCCGGCGCCUGUGCCAGCUCACCUCUGGCCAUGGCGCAGCUGCCGGUGCACACGGCGGCCAAGGCCAGCUCCACAUUCUUCCCUCCCCCUCCCACUUCACCGGAGCCCCGAACCCUGCGCGCAGAGAAAGGGUCUCAGCUCCACAGACGACUGGGUCCCUCCUCACCAAAAAUGGUGAGACAAGAUUUCAUCUGUCGGCCGAGGAGCCACAAGCAGGUUUGUCUGAGAGGGAUGGUGCUGGGGGAAGGCUUUGGAUUGCAUCUCAAAUUAAGCUUUGCUCCUUAAAUGUGGCGCUCUCGCCAAGAAAAAGCUUGGGGCCUGAAUUCUUGAGAUUUAUGGUGCACCUUAUUGAUCAAAUUUAUCUGGACUUUUUUUAGUUCCCCGAUGUGUCCCUAUCAUU
rnacentral:antisense_RNA from 1 species